rnacentral:rRNA from 1 species
GAUCAGACGGUACCUGUGGAAUAAGCCUACGGCUAACUCCGUGCCCAGCAGCCGCGGUAAGACGGAGAGAGGCAAGCGUUAUCCGGAAUUAUUGGGCGUAAAGCGUCCGCAGGUGGCCUAUCAAGUCUGUUGUUAAAGCGCAGGAGCUCAACUCCCAGAUCAGCAGUGGAAACUGAAAAGGCUAGAGUACGGUAGGGGCAGAGGGAAUUCCCCGGUGUAGCGGUGAAAUGCGUAGAUAUUGGGGAAGAACACCCAGUGGCGAAGGCGCUAUGCUGGGCCAUCACUGACACUCAUGGACGAAAAGCCAGGGGAGCGAAAGGGAUUAGAUACCCCUGUAGUCCUGGCUGUAAACGAUGAACACUAGGUGUCGGCGGAAUCGACCCCGUUCAGUGUCGUAGCCAACGCGUUAAGUGUUCCGCCUGGGGAGUACGCACGCAAAGUGUGAAACUCAAAGGAAUUGACGGGGGCCCGCACAAGCGGUGGAGUAUGUGGUUUAAUUCGAUGCAACGCGAAGAACCUUACCAGGGUUUGACAUCUUGCGAAUCUGAGGGAAAGCUGAGAGUGCCUUCGGGAGCGCAAACACAGGUGGUGCAUGGCUGUCGUCAGCUCGUGUCGUGAGAUGUUGGGUUAAGUCCCGCAACGAGCGCAACCCACGUCUUUAGUUGCCAUCAUUAAGUUGGGCACUCUAGAGAGACCGCCGGUGACUAACCGGAGGAAAGGUGUGGAUGACGUCAAGUCAUCAUGCCCCUUACAUCCUGGGCUACCCCCGUACUACCAUGGUACGGACCAAGAGCAGCCAGCUCGCGAGAACGAGCAAAUCCCAGAAACCUAGCCUC